UACGUAGGGUGCGAGCGUUAAUCGGAAUUACUGGGCGUAAAGCGUGCGCAGGCGGUUUUGUAAGCCAGAUGUGAAAUCCCCGGGCUCAACCUGGGAAUGGCGAUGGAUACUGGCGAGCUAGAGUGAGGUAGAGGAGAGUGGAAUUCCCGGUGUAGCAGUGAAAUGCGUAGAGAUCGGGAGGAACAUCAGUUGCGAAGGCGGCUCUCUGGACCAUCACUGACACUGAGGCACGAAAGCGUGGGGAGCAAACAGG
rnacentral:rRNA from 1 species